rnacentral:tRNA from 2 species
GGCGCGGUGGCCAAGUGGUAAGGCGGAAGUCUGCAAAACUUCUAUUCGUGGGUUCGAUUCCCACCCGCGCCU